rnacentral:rRNA from 1 species
UACAGAGGUCUCAAGCGUUGUUCGGAUUCAUUGGGCGUAAAGGGUGCGUAGGCGGCUCGGUAAGUCGGGCGUGAAAUCUCGGAGCUUAACUCCGAAACUGCAUUCGAUACUGCCGUGCUUGAGGACUGGAGAGGAGACUGGAAUUUACGGUGUAGCGGUGAAAUGCGUAGAUAUCGGAAGGAAGACCAGUGGCGAAGGCGGGUCUCUGGACAGUUCCUGACGCUGAGGCACGAAGGUCAGGGGAGCAAACGGG